rnacentral:lncRNA from 1 species
AUAUCCCAACUCCCCCUUUUUCCGUCUCCUAAUCGGUGACAUUUCUUUUUAGAAGAAUAAGCAUCGAGGUGUACCGUUAACUGUUCUUUAAAAUCGUACAAGGUUGGGUCACACAAUCAGACGCUCCUAAUCGCUGCCUUUUCUCUCUGAAUUGCUUAAAACGGGUGCUUUUAGAGGCAAUUUGUUUACUGCACUCUGAGAAUUUAAAUUUCUGUAAAUACACUUUAAUUUUUUAAUAGACAUUUUAAGCCACGAAAACACAACCCAUCUGAAUAAAAAUGUUGCCCCAAGAACUUAAUAGUUUCAAAAAUUAAAAUGUAAACUAUUCAGGAGUUGUCACAGGGAGGGAUUAAUGUGAACAUCACACACAAACACACCAGCUCUGUUCCUGUCCCCCGAUCUUGAGUCUCUCUUCACCUUCUCCUCUUAGGCUGACCCUGGCCCCUGCCUCUGUUGCCCCCAUCCCGCCACCCAGGCCUGAGUCUGGAGCCCCCAGGACCCUCCAAGCCCAGGCCUGCACCCACCCCAGGGCGGUGGUUGGUUAUGGGUCCUGGAGUGUUUCUCGCCCUGCAUCUCCAUCACCCUGCACCUCUCGUCAUCUCUCACUUCUGAAGUGCACAGGGGACCUGACCUCAUGUGCCCCGAUGGAUGACCUGGCCGCUUCAGCAAGCUGGAUCCUUCCUCAAAACAAAUCACAGCAAACCUGCUCAGGCCUCUGGGUGUGACUCCCACUGAUGGGCAUGUGGUGUGGGGAGAGGAGCCUGUUACACCACAUUGGAGGUAAGGAUGCAGACCCAGAGUUGGACCUCUACAGGGCAGACUACCACCUCCUCAGCCGCAAACCAGAAAGAUGAAGCCAGGGGAAACCACCAGUCAAAGAGCACUUUACACAGUGCGGACCCAUCUGGAUCAGAACUCAAAUGGACCAUAUUUAAAGAUGACAUUUGAGCCCCAGGUGUGUGGACAUGACUGCAGCACCCAGGGGACCAGGGGACGGGUUGAGAACCUUUCAGGUGGGAUGACGAUGUGGUUGGUUAUGGAGGUGAGGGUGUGGAGGAACCCACCUCCUCUGCAACGUGUGUUCAAACAAAUCUCCGAGCCAGGCUGGGUCCCAGAGCUAAACAUAGUGCUAAGUUCAUCCCUUUCAGAGCAAACGGCAGCAGGUGUUGGGGUAGGGGCUGGAAGGAGGCCCUGUCGGUUAUAUUCCCCCUUCUCAAGCCUCACCACUUACAGUCACUUGCAGCAACAGAGAACUGUGUCCCAUGGACCCUGGUGUCCCUGGCAAGGGAUUGGCGUAGCCUACACCCCCCAAGCCCAGGCCUCGUCUUUGGGGCCGGCCUUACUCCACACUCCCUGCAGGCGGCUGGCUACCUUCCGGCUCUGGUCAGUCCAAUGGCCACCUGGGGCGUCAGCUCCACCUAGUCAUGGAAAUGACUAG